AUGAACGCUAGCUACAGGCUUAACACAUGCAAGUCGAGGGGCAGCAUGGUCUUAGCUUGCUAAGGCCGAUGGCGACCGGCGCACGGGUGAGUAACACGUAUCCAACCUGCCGUCUACUCUUGGACAGCCUUCUGAAAGGAAGAUUAAUACAAGAUGGCAUCAUGAGUCCGCAUGUUCACAUGAUUAAAGGUAUUCCGGUAGACGAUGGGGAUGCGUUCCAUUAGAUAGUAGGCGGGGUAACGGCCCACCUAGUCUUCGAUGGAUAGGGGUUCUGAGAGGAAGGUCCCCCACAUUGGAACUGAGACACGGUCCAAACUCCUACGGGAGGCAGCAGUGAGGAAUAUUGGUCAAUGGGCGAGAGCCUGAACCAGCCAAGUAGCGUGAAGGAUGACUGCCCUAUGGGUUGUAAACUUCUUUUAUAAAGGAAUAAAGUCGGGUAUGGAUACCCGUUUGCAUGUACUUUAUGAAUAAGGAUCGGCUAACUCCGUGCCAGCAGCCGCGGUAAUACGGAGGAUCCGAGCGUUAUCCGGAUUUAUUGGGUUUAAAGGGAGCGUAGAUGGAUGUUUAAGUCAGUUGUGAAAGUUUGCGGCUCAACCGUAAAAUUGCAGUUGAUACUGGAUAUCUUGAGUGCAGUUGAGGCAGGCGGAAUUCGUGGUGUAGCGGUGAAAUGCUUAGAUAUCACGAAGAACUCCGAUUGCGAAGGCAGCCUGCUAAGCUGCAACUGACAUUGAGGCUCGAAAGUGUGGGUAUCAAACAGGAUUAGAUACCCUGGUAGUCCACACGGUAAACGAUGAAUACUCGCUGUUUGCGAUAUACAGCAAGCGGCCAAGCGAAAGCGUUAAGUAUUCCACCUGGGGAGUACGCCGGCAACGGUGAAACUCAAAGGAAUUGACGGGGGCCCGCACAAGCGGUGGAGUAUGUGGUUUAAUUCGAAGCAACGCGAAGAACCUUACCAGGCCUUGACAUCCCUUGCAGAGGUAUAGAGAUAUAUCCGAGGUUAUCAAGGAGACAGGUGGUGCAUGGUUGUCGUCAGCUCGUGUCGUGAGAUGUUGGGUUAAGUCCCGCAACGAGCGCAACCCUUGUUGUCAGUUACUAACAGGAUUUGCUGAGGACUCUGACAAGACUGCCAUCGUAAGAUGUGAGGAAGGUGGGGAUGACGUCAAAUCAGCACGGCCCUUACGUCCGGGGCUACACACGUGUUACAAUGGGGGGUACAGAGGGCCGCUACCACGCGAGUGGAUGCCAAUCCCCAAAACCUCUCUCAGUUCGGACUGGAGUCUGCAACCCGACUCCACGAAGCUGGAUUCGCUAGUAAUCGCGCAUCAGCCACGGCGCGGUGAAUACGUUCCCGGGCCUUGUACACACCGCCCGUCAAGCCAUGGGAGCCGGGGGUACCUGAAGUGCGUAACCGCGAGGAGCGCCCUAGGGUAAAACUGGUGACUGGGGCU
rnacentral:rRNA from 1 species